rnacentral:rRNA from 1 species
UGGGGAAUUUUGGACAAUGGGGGCAACCCUGAUCCAGCAAUGCCGCGUGUGUGAAGAAGGCCUUCGGGUUGUAAAGCACUUUUGUCCGGAAAGAAAACUUCGUCCCUAAUAUGGAUGGAGGAUGACGGUACCGGAAGAAUAAGCACCGGCUAACUACGUGCCAGCAGCCGCGGUAAUACGUAGGGUGCGAGCGUUAAUCGGAAUUACUGGGCGUAAAGCGUGCGCAGGCGGUCUGUUAAGACCGAUGUGAAAUCCCCGGGCUUAACCUGGGAACUGCAUUGGUGACUGGCAGGCUUUGAGUGUGGCAGAGGGGGGUAGAAUUCCACGUGUAGCAGUGAAAUGCGUAGAGAUGUGGAGGAAUACCGAUGGCGAAGGCAGCCCCCUGGGCCAACACUGACGCUCAUGCACGAAAGCGUGGGGAGCAAACAG